rnacentral:tRNA from 1 species
GGCUCCGUAGUUGAAUGGAUACAACGACCCCCUCCUAAGGGGUAGGUACAGGUUCGAUUCCUGUCGGGGCUACCA